UAUCUCCGGCACAAAACCUUUUGGAUGACCGAAUAUUUAACUUUCCACGGUAAUCACACAACGGGGUCAAUGCAGUUGAUGACGCAAAAGUGGACGACUUCAUUUUCACGCCAUUGAAGGGGUGUCCAGCUCGAUGCCAGUGUGUAAACGUUUUAAUGAUAUUUCUGAUGAAUCAACAUUUCAAUUAUUUAUAACUGAUGGAAAGGAUAAUUUAAUUAUCCUAUAAAACCUGGGACAAAAGGUAUUUUUAAGUCACAGAUAAACGAAAAUGCUUUCACGAAAAUUGUGUCCUGCAUACGGAGUACCCUGACUCCCCCGUGUAAGCGUAUCGAUUUGUCCGUUGCCGCCGAAACUCUUUGAACUUCGAGCGGGUGCCUGUGUAGUUUAAAGACACGCAAAGCUGAGGUUUAAACGGGUAAAUUAACUGUUACAAGAGGUCUCGUUUAAAUUUGCCGUAGACAUGCGGGAUGUUUCUUAAAGACUAGAAACAUGUAGUCUUAGACUCUAGUGGCUCAACUGCCUUAUAGUCUUAUCACAGUAAAUACUUCAGUGACAGACCGCUAUGACUUCAAAACAGGGACUCAGACUGAAAUACAAUAAAAUAUUUCAGUAAAGAUCAUGAGUAAUUGAAGAGAUUUUAAUGGAUGGGAGUGGGACUCACAUGAAAUAGAGUUUCCUUUUAGGGUCUAUUAUCUUAGCCAGUAAACUACAUGUGAGCAAGGGGAAUGUGAUUAGAGAAGACUGGUGAUAAUAAACAGAGGCCACUCAAAAAAAGAAAAUAUACUGUUGUGAAAAAGACUCAAAAUGGCAGAAAAUAAUUGGAUUUUACAUGGGCAUAUUCUGUUGUAACUUCGUUUGGUAGCUAAAAAUUGUUUAUUAAAAAUACCUGUAUGGCUGUGAAGAGAGAUGUUGAG